rnacentral:tRNA from 1 species
UCUAAAGUGGCAGAAUUAUGCAUUAGAUUUAAGCUCUAAUAAUAGGAGUUUUCCUCUUUAGAA